CAGGUGAGCAAGGUAGGACGGCUGUCACCCACAGACGAGCAGCGGAGAACUUUCUCUAACUGCCACCCACGUGCCGACCCUCCAAAGAACGCGGGUUUCACUAGCAAAUAAGAACGUGGGUUUAAUUAGCAAAUACUUUUAACAAACUUGACACUAUCACAUAGAGCUCCCAAAGUUGCCCCAAGGGCUUGUAAAUUACCUAAGUACACACCAAAAAAUUUUUAAAAGAAUCCCAGUGUCAAAUAAAAGCCUGUGAGGGCCCCUUCUAGGGACUUGAGUUUCAGGCCUAGGAUGCAAAGCCUGGCGCAGCAGCCAGGGGUGACUCCAGGCUCCUGCCGGCUCCAGGAUUCUGGGAAGGGGCAGACUUUGGGCCCCCUGGAGCCCCUCUAGGCCCAGUGUCCACCCCACAGACCCUGCAGUCUGGGGCCACUCUUCUGGGAGAGGUGUUGUGGGCGGCUUUGAGCCGACGCUGUCAGGGCAAGAGUCUCUCUCCUAACAUGAAGGCUUUCCAACACAGAUGGGACGGGCCUCAUGGAAGGAAGCACCGGCCUGUCACAGACGUGUGAUGUCUAAAGCCGGCGUCUCUGGACCAUCCCAGGGCAAGCAGAAAGUCGUACAAAAGUACAGUCACCCUAUCUCAAUGCUAGGACAGUCUUCAGCAUUUCAGACUUGAUGAAAUACAGACACUCAUAUGAAGUACAGAAAAAUAAAAAUUCCAGCCACACAUUCUGUCUCCUGCGGUUAGAUGUCUUGAG
rnacentral:lncRNA from 1 species